rnacentral:rRNA from 1 species
UACGGGAGGCAGCAGUGGGGAAUAUUGCACAAUGGGCGAAAGCCUGAUGCAGCAACGCCGCGUGAGGGAUGAAGGCCUUCGGGUUGUAAACCUCUUUUAGCAGGGAAGAAGCGAAAGUGACGGUACCUGCAGAAAAAGCACCGGCUAACUACGUGCCAGCAGCCGCGGUAAUA